rnacentral:lncRNA from 1 species
UUUAAAGUAACCCCAAUAAAAUAGUUACUUUAUCAAAAUAUAAAAGUUUAGUUAGUCCUUAAAUUUCCAUUACUAAAAACACAGGUUAAGUACAAAUAGUUUUAUAAGAAACCAUUACCUCUUCUUAAGGAAAUUAGCAAGAUUGCAUUAAGCAGCAAGUUGGAUACAAGUCUUGUACAAUUACGUUAUUCCAAAAAGAUUACUGAAGUUGUAAACAAGCAUCAUAUCUGAUACAAGUUAUGUCAUGCUCCAACCCGUUGGGAUUAACUAACCAUCUUUAAAUAUUGAUAAAUUGACAAGUAUAACAAGGAUUCAUACAAGUGAUGCAAAUACACCCCUAAUUUUCAACAAUAGAUUUAUUGAAUAACAUAAAUAAAUUCCAACCUAUCGAAUAUAGUUCUGACUAUGUCGAUAUAAAAAGUGAUGUAACAUAAAUAUCCCCACAAUAUAAAGUUUUCGACGUACAAGUGACAGGUUUGUAUUAUUUUCUGAAGAAGUGAGCUAGUGAGCAUCAGUUCUCCCGAGUUCCAUCGUCGCAAACAUGAAAACUUACAUGAAACAAAUACAAGUAGCCAACGAUCCUGGCAACGAACUCUGCUCUUGAAAUUCAUUAGACCCGUUGAAACUUCGACUGCUCCAAUUAUAUAUAAAUAAUAACAAAUAAUGAAAUAUGAUAGUAAUGUACAAAAUCUUCAAAUCCUGUCUGGCUUUGGCAUUAUAGCUGUCCAAAAUAAUCUUUAGCGGAUCUAAAUUAAGAGACAGGGCUUGUUUCCAGUGGCGCUCAAAUAAGGUUGAUGGUGAAGGAAACAUAUGGAUGUGUAUCCGCCUCACCUGCUAGGUUAGCCAUUCCAGCCCCAACCUCUUCAUCAGUUUUCCAGUAUGCACUGCACACAAAUUUAUUGAAGGUACAAUAUUACAAUGUAAGAAUAGUCUAUCUAAUUAAGAGAUAAAAAUUACAAAAACAGAAACAAAUAAAUAUUGUCUGUAUGUAUCAAAACACGAGUGGAAAGCAAGAUCUGUUAGAAUUAGGAAAGAAAGAGAAAGAGGAAUUCUGUUAUUCUAUUCAUAUUAUAAAGAAGUUACAGUAGGUGCUUAUUUAUACUAGCAAGAGUAACAAACUAUAACAAAUAGAAUGACAGCUAAGCAUAUUAACAAAUGAAAGACAGCUAAGGCAUUUGGCCACAAGUAGAAAUUAAAUACUACUUAUAUCUCCUAAUAUUCCCCUUAGAAGCUGAGGUGCUUCAAUCAAAUCUUUGUGUUGACACACUCUAAGUUUGUCACGAAGCAGAAGGAACUUUGCUGCAGAAAGGGGUUUUGUCAAAGCAUCUGCCACUAUCUUGAGGCAACAUGAGUAACAAUGAAGCUUUGUUGAGGAACUUUUUCUCUCACAAAGAAAAUGUCCAGUUCAUGUGUUUGUCUGUUAUGGAGACAGGAAUUAUGGCAAGGAAACUGUGCUCAGGUGUUCAACAUAAUUUAGGAGUGUGAAACUGACAUUGAAGUUCAGUGAGGAAGAGACGAAUCCACAGCAUUCUGCAGCAGUUGAGCCAUGCUUCUAUAUUCAGCUUCUGCACUGGAUCUUGCCACAGUGGUUGCUUCUUUGACCACCAAGAAAUCAGAUUGGGCUAAAAACAACAACACCAGAUUUGACCUUUGUCAUCAGGGUCAUUGCCCAGUCAGCAUCACAGAAGCCCAGAAGAACUAGUUGUGCCUGAGAGCAGGUUGAAGAAGUAUAUCCAUAUGAAGUGUACACUUAGAUACCUUAGGAUUCUUUUACUGCUCUUCAGUGCCCUCUAGAGGGUUAGACAGAAAUUGGCACCUUUUAUACUGAAAGGAUAACUCAGGCUAGUUAUGUUGCAUACUGAAGAGCACAACAAUAGAACGAAAUUGGGGUGGAUCUGAAGUGGAAGAGCCUAUUGGACAGUUUGCUGCUAGAUAUCAUGGAGUUGGCAUUCCAUUAGCAGUAGACAUGUUAACCUUGCAAGCAAGUCAGUCCAUAUUUAGUUGAGAAAGAAGUAAUGAUCCAUUAGAAGAUGUGUCACCUCAAUGCCUAAAAAGUAGUCCAAGCUGUCCUAGGUCCUUGAGAGAACUUGUUGUUAGACUGCGAUAAGAUUACAAUGAAAGAAGGAGAAAUUUCCAGUGAUAAUGAUGUCAAUCCAUAUAAACCAACAUUAUUAUAGGAGGCCUGCUAGUGUGGAGAAAGAACAAGCUAGGAUCACACUUACUGCCUUAAAAACAUGCUGCAUUAGGGAGCUUGACCUAUAAAACCAGCCCGGGGAGCCUGUUUAGCCCAUACAAGGCUUUGUUGAGCUUGCAACAAGAGACCUGUCAGUAGCUUCAAACCCAGGGGUUGAAUCAUAUACAACUCUUCUCAAAGAAGGCAUUGAGAAAAGCAUUAUUAACAUCUAUUUGCUUGAUGGUCCACUCUGUUUUGUGACAGCAAGGGUGAGGACAGUCCUGACAGUAACAGGCUUCACCACUGGAGAAAAGGUUCAGUAAAAUCAACUGCCAGCCUUUGAUGAAACCCUUGGCAACCAAUCUUGCCUUAUACUGUUGAUAGACCAUCCGGGUUCUCCUCACCCGAAAAACCCAUUUGCAGCCUAUGGCCCCUUGACUCAGAUGAGACACCAGGUCCAUGUCUGAUUUUUCAAAAGAGCUUGAUAUUUCUCCUGCAUGCCUGGAACCAGUGAGGGAAGCAAAGCUGCUUAACAGUGGUAGGUUCCAAUAGGGUGAGUAAAAGGGUGGGAUGGAUUUUGGGUUGCACAAUCCCAUUUUUGGCUCGAGUUGUCAUAGAAUGGACAUUGAGAGGAUUGAGAAUAUGAGACUGGGAACAGUACUGACAACAGGAUUAGAAUUAGCGGCAGAAUUGGAACCAGACCUGUAGAAUUAAUAGAACUGUGAGGAGAUGGUGAGAUUGUGUGGCUUCAGCUAGUCAAAAAGGCAGAUGGGUGAAGGGAGGAGACUGAGAUACAUUUUGUUGGCUUGAGAGAGGCAAAGGGCUGGAUGAGAUGAGAUUGCAGUAGCUGCAGCUGAAGAUGCAGUGGGACUAAUAUGUUGGAGAGGAGGAACACGUGAGUGGGAAUAAUGGGUGAGAGGCAGCAAUGGAGCAAACAUGUUAGAGGAAGUAGAGGAAGUGGAGGGAUGGAAGAGGUCCAAAUAAGGAAAUCUGGAUUCAUGAAAUAACACAUCCUUAGAGAGAUAAUGUUCCAUCUGCUGCAAGACACUUUAUCCUUUAUGACAGAUGAGUAUCCAAGAAAAUGCAUCUGAGAUCUAAAGCAAGUUUGUGGAAUUAAAAGGACGAAGGAAUGGGGAAGCAAGCACAACCAAAGACACGGAGACUAGAUAGUCAGGAGUUUUUGCAUUAAAUGGAGUAAGGGACUGGUUUGCAAUGAGAACUAGGCGCCUAUUAAGAAGAUAGGCUGCAAUGACAAAGGCAUGAUCAAUACUUGAGAGGCAAGCUGGAAUGAGCAAGCAAAGCUAGGCUGUUUCAACUAUAUGACGAUGUUGCGUUCAACUAUACAUUUUUGAUGAUGAGUAAUAGGGACAGUUGAAGCGAUGGACAUACCUAACUCAGUAAGAUAUUUGGUGAAAGGCUUGAACUCACCACCUCCAUCACUUAACUCCUUUAAUUUGCAAUAAAUGGAGUUCGACCAUGUUUUGAAGUGAUGAAUUGGGUGAGGGUAUCAGAUUUUAACCGAAGAGAAAGACCCAAACAAAUCUAGAAAACGCAUCAACACAGGUAGAAAAAUAUGUAUAACCACCUGAGGAGUGAAUGGGUGCAGGCCCCAUAGAUCACAGACCACAAGUUCAAAGGGAUGGUGAUAAACAGUGUAAGAGGGAGGAUGGAAGUCGAUGAGACUGCCCAAGCAGCAAGCAGAACAUAGGCAGUGGGAGUUUGAGGAAUGGCACAUUGCAUAUUUUAAGAACUUCAAAGCUUGGUGAUGGGGGUGCCAACUCUUGUAUGCAUAAUAAUUAUUUGCUAUCAGAGAUAGAGGUGGAACAGGGACAGAUGAAUGAAAAUUAGAAAUAUUAACAGUAAGAAACAGAGCUGUAGAGAAGACUGUAAACUAGAACAGUGGUGAUUUCAUUAAUAUGGGAAACAGGAUUACAAGAGGAGAUACAAUUGCUAGAAGCAGCUGAAUACAAGUGGAACUAAAGAUAUUAAAAGAGUUAUAACUAUGAAACUUGGAGAAAGAGCAAACAGGAUUGAUAAAGCUGUAGAGUCAUCGGCUCCAACAGUGCCACGAAGAAGAACUUCAGAAGAAUCCUGCGAUUUAACAAGACAAACUGAGGAUGAAACCAAAGAAAACACGUUAUUUGUGCAAAUUUUACUGACCCUCAUAAGGUUCUUAGUGAUGUGAGGAACAAGAAGAAAGGUUAUGACAUUAGAGAUGAGUUAGGAUGAUUGGAUAAAGGAAUUCAUGAACCUACAAGAGUUAAUGCACAAACUUUGGCCAUUUCCAUAUACACUUGUUCAGCUCCAGUCAACGAGGAGCAAUCAGACAAAUUUGAGCAUCAGGCGUGACAUGGUGAGACGCACUGAUAAGAGUAUCUGUGGUAGCAUCCAGAGGCAUCAUGUCAGAUUUAUGACAUAUCUGGCAUGAAACCUUCCAAAUCGACCACACGACCGACGGCCCCACCACGACCGAUUACGACACCGCGUGAACCAUAACCAUGAUUUCAGAGUUGCAGUCACAUGACUAGUUCGUAGGAAAUUAGGGUUCAAAUCAACACCGGAGACUCAGUUGAAGGUGUGCUGAUGGCGGCGAAGCCUGUGUUGAGAUUCAAGUCAAGAUUCAGUGAGAACAGCUUUACGAUUCUUUCAAAUACGCGAUUCGUGAGCAAGAAGACUCGACUCAAGUUCAUCCAACGAAAUAGAUCUUUCUUUGCUAUUCAUUGCACAGCACAAUAGGAAUCGAUUCUUCAGGGAGAGCGCAAGCACGACUUCAAUUAGGUUACGAUGAGGGACAGGAUCUCCGAUCGAAACCAAGGACUCACUGAUUCACGAACGUGGACAACAAAUUCAGUUGAUGUGGGGAUUUUUCGUCAGGUUCUGUACUCAGAUCGUAGUGACGCGCCUUAUGGUGAGCAAGGUGUUGAAGUAACAUAAUUCAGACCACACUUGCCAUGAGUAGUGCAAUCACGAGUUUGGAAGGAGCGAAUCGGAGAUCGUAGAACAGCAACCAGUGCAGAUGACGCAUCCUGUUGUUCCCAAUCAAGAAACUCUGGAAUUUGCGCUCACCGGUAACAGGAUCGGCACCCAGGAGUACAACGUGGACGGCACAAGCGGUCGGCCGUCACGAACCGCUGGAGCUGUGGCCUGCGAAUCACACAACUCGUCAAUUUGUUGUUUCCAUUGUUUGAAGUUCUUAUUCAUCCAGCUUAACGGAGAUGAGAUUGAAGACAGGUUUGACAUGAGAAAAGAGGAAAAAAAAAAACGCCGUGCCUCAGAAUUAAACGGUGAGCCUGGAAGCGCUAGAUCGCAAGAAGCUCUAGAUACCAAUGUAGAAUUAGGAAAGAAAGAGAAAGAGGAAUUCUGUUAUUCUAUUCAUAUUAUAAAGAAGUUACAGUAGGGUGCUUAUUUAUACUAGCAAGAGUAACAACUAUAACAACAUAGAAUGACAGCUAAGCAUAUUAACAAAUAGAAUGACAGCUAAGCAUAUUGGCCACAG